CAUGCAAAGUGGUGCACCUCCAACUGGCUAGUUAUAACUCAUCUCCAUGGCUUUUUAUUUGCAGAUGGUUUGUGAAUGAACAGGUCAAUCCACACACAACUCAACCAACUGCAUUUCUUGGAUGCUGCUGUGAGGUGUGCUGCAGACUGUGGCAGAAGAAACACAGAAUAACUAAGCCUGACCUCAGCUUUGGAAUAAUUGGAAAUCAUCCUUUCACUCUGUGCGUUUUACUGUAUUUAGUACAGUUUUGUUUAUCAUGCAGUUCUGACACGUUUCCUUACCAUGUCCUAAUUUAUAUUUAACUUAUGUAAUGCAUUUUGAAAAGGGAUUUAUUUAUUUAUUUUCCUGUAGACCAUUAAAAAUAGUGUGAAGGCUCUCUCAAUUUUAUUUAAAUCAGACCAUUCUGUUUGAGUGGCUGUGGCUAACCAAAGCAUACCUAUACCACACUGGAUGUGUUUCUUCCUGUUGAUGUAAACAGACUGGAAUCUCUUUUUAAGUCAAAUGCUGACGUAUUUCCUGGAAUAUAUGUAGUACUGUGGAAAUGUGUUAGAAAAACUAAUACUAUUAAAUACUACUCACUAGGCUUAUUAUUUGUUACUGUCAUAUAGCAUCUCUAUGAGCUUGACAAAUUGGCUGUAAACUUCUUUUUUCUGUUUUCUGUAGGGUUUCUAAGCUGCAAAAUUUUCAUGCUGCUGUGUUGUGACACAGUUUAGGACAGUGUUGUCUCCAGCAUUUCUUCUGUGAUUUUUGACUUGUUAUAAACUAAGGAAAGGAAUCCUUCCCUCAAACCUUGCUUAAAUUUGAAGCAAUAUGUGAAUUUGAAUGUGCUUUCUCAUCAAAAUGUUCAGGUCACUGGGCUAGAGGUUAUCAACUCUGUUUCUCCUUAAGUCACUCCUAUCUGGUGUGUUUCUAUUUUGCAUGGAAUACUAUAACAUUCAUUAAAACAGAUAGUGUGAGAUCUGGUUAACAUUUUAGCCCACUGGUCAGGGUACUUGGGUUCUGGCCCAUGAUCUAGAAAAUGUUGAAUUAUUUAAGCUAAAGGAACAUCCUCCAGAAGAAAUACCAAAGAUGCCUCCUAAAGUUGCUUUGUGGCUUGUAAAUCUGGAGUUACCCAGGCAUCUUUGUGUUUACAUUUUGUAUGGCAACUAUAUGUGUUCUUUUCCCCGGAAAACCAAGUUUCUAGAACUGCAGAUUUCCAGAAAUUGAAUCACAAUUACUGAAGAUUUUUAAUCUUGAUCUAAGAGAAGGAAAGACUCAUGCUGGUUGUGCUUACUCAGUCUCAGUUACACAAGUGUACUCUGU
rnacentral:lncRNA from 1 species